GACCAGGUCUAAAGAGCCCAGGAGCUCUGCACAUGCGUACUUAGGUGUGGGCACGUUACUGGAAAAGACGGUUGGGAGUGGAGGAACUCUGGCCUCUGAGGCUCUGAAACCUGAGUUUCAAUGUUUUGCCAGCUGCCUUGUUUGCUUCUCAGAGAAUCAAUGUUUUCCUGCCGAGCCAGCAGGAGAAGAAAACCAUCACUUAUUCCCAACCCAGAGGAAGAGGAUCGCGACUCGCGUUUCCCUUGUGGGACAGGAUAAAGUCCACCCAGGGACACUUCAGUGAAGUGCAGCUCAGCUUUUCAUAACCGUGAGACUCUCCUGCAUCCUGAUGAAAGUGUGAAUUCAGCCUUCACUGUCACAAACUGUGUGCCUGAGUUUACCUCAUCUGUGGAAACUGCAGAAGUGAGCACUUCAGAGAGUGGAGGAUGAGCCUCUCCAUGGGAAAGCCACGUUGCAAUCACACUGGUUCCCCUGCCAGAACCCAGAGCAUCCUCCAGAUCCUCACUGUGACAACCAUCCAGGAGGGUUGAGCUUGAUGGGAUGAGAUCAGCAAUACAGCAGCAAUUUCAGAACAGCCUCCUGUGGUUUUCUGGUCCAGGUAGCUUCUCCUCCAGGUAAGCA